CAUUAUUAUCACAGUGUUUAGGAAGCUUAUAGUUCCCCUGAGCUCUAAGCCCUGAAUAAAUCUUAGCAGCUAUGGCUCUUCUUCUCCUCUCUCUUCUCUUGUUAUUCUCUCUCUCCUUCCACGUAGGCAACCUGCCUGAGGAUCCACCGGCAGUCAUUUUUUCCGGCGAACAAGAACCCACUUCUCUCUAGAGCUCUGUUUGGUAUUGGCGUGUGAUUUGUCUCACUUUAUCACGAGAAUUGCUUUGUUUGUUGAAUUUUUGCAAGAAAGAAAAGCUGCUCGUGUUGUUUCCUAGAUUCUUCUCAUUUCCUC
rnacentral:misc_RNA from 1 species